UCGAGUCGAUAUCUUUUUCAAUAUAUACCCUGCAUUCAAACUAUACAGCUGCGUACAUAUGCGUACAAAAAGCGUCUAACAAACCAGUAUUGGGGUUAAUGAAUACACUGUUUUGUUUUUCGAAUCAUCGAUUAAAGUUAAGUUAACCCAAACGGUUUAUUGAUUUGAACAAUGAUUUAUUGUUAAUGUGACAAUCACUUAUUUGGAAUGAAAUAUUUGUAUGAUUAUAUGUAGUCUUUAACUUUACAGCUUUAAAUUUAACUGUUAGACGGUUUCUAUUACAAUUUUGAAGGAAAAAAAAUGUAGUCAUAACUGUGUAUUUUGUUUUCAGUAAUUGCGUACCUGGAGAAUUACCUUGAACAAUUAUCGACUUAAACAUUAUACUUGCGGUUUCAACUCAAAAGAAAAGUCAUGUUGGAAAAAGUUCGAGGAGGUGGACUUUAUCAACUACAGAUUCAAAAACGAAACCUAAACGAACCGUAACAUCGGACAGUAUUGACUACAGUUUGAAUUACAAGACAGAAAAAAGCAACAAAUUGCAGACGUCCAACAUUCUUCCUGCUCACAUGCUUACAUCUUGUGGCGUCGGAUAAAUAGCCAGUAGCCAAGUAUUGAUGCAGCCGUAGUGGAAUAACUGGGAAACUCAUUAUUUUAUCUUUGAAGGAAAAUGUGACCUUCGGUAUUGUUCAAGGACAGUUUCUAGAGGAUGAAAUAAAGGACUCGUGGUAAUACUAUACAGACCACCAUUUAGAUGAAUGCCAAGACAGCAGUAACAUCGGUCAAAUAAAUAAAACGUUGAGGAAUUCCAUAGGUGCUGUUUAACAUGUCAUUCUAAUGAUGUAACAAUUUUCAUGGAUCAUGGGAAAUGAAUAUUCUAUUCAGAAGGACAGUGCAGGUUGUUGUAAUGCUAAAAAAACUGCUUGUUAGAUUGUCAUCGUUGGACUUCAUUACUAACGUCAAUCUUUUCACGCAUUUGAGACUGAACACUUAAUGUUUUCCAGUGAGAAACGUACACUAAUACUAUGGAGAAAAAAAGGAUGAAAAACGUUUUUCACAUGAUCUAUAAUUUCAGUGUUGCAUUAAUUAUUUCCGAAUUGGAAACAUUCAAGAAGUAACAUUGCAGACUUGAUGUUUAUACGCGGUUCUUUUUAUUCUCGUGCCACUUUACAUAUUCGAAGUUUAUAAAGGUCCAUUUGAUUUCAAUAUAAUGUUUGUGAUUGAAUUGUGUAUUAAACUUCAAAUAAACUUCAUAGUUGCA